UACGUAGGGUCCGAGCGUUUGUCCGGAAUUAUUGGGCGUAAAGAGCUCGUAGGCGGUUUGUCGCGUCUGCUGUGAAAUCCCGAGGCUCAACCUCGGGUCUGCAGUGGGUACGGGCAGACUAGAGUGCGGUAGGGGAGAUUGGAAUUCCUGGUGUAGCGGUGGAAUGCGCAGAUAUCAGGAGGAACACCAAUGGCGAAGGCAGAUCUCUAGGCCGUAACUGACGCUGAGGAGCGAAAGCAUGGGGAGCGAACAGG
rnacentral:rRNA from 1 species